rnacentral:rRNA from 1 species
UACGGAGGGGGCUAGCGUUGUUCGGAAUUACUGGGCGUCAAGCGCACGUAGGCGGCUUUGCAAGUUAGAGGUGAAAGCCCGGGGCUCAACUCCGGAAUUGCCUUUAAAACUGCAUCGCUAGAAUUGUGGAGAGGUAAGUGGAAUUCCGAGUGUAGAGGUGAAAUUCGUAGAUAUUCGGAAGAACACCAGUGGCGAAGGCGACUUACUGGACACAUAUUGACGCUGAGGUGCGAAAGCGUGGGGAGCAAACAGG